rnacentral:rRNA from 1 species
CAGAGGGUGCGAGCGUUGUCCGGAAUCACUGGGCGUAAAGGGCGCGUAGGUGGCGACCCAAGUCGAUGGUGAAAGCUCGCCGCUCAACGGCGAGUCGGCCACCAAUACUGGGUUGCUCGAGCACUGUAGAGGCUAAUGGAAUUCCGGGUGUAGCGGUGGAAUGCGUAGAGAUCCGGAAGAACACCGGUGGCGAAGGCGGUUAGCUGGGCAGUUGCUGACACUGAGGCGCGACAGCGUGGGGAGCAAACAGGAUUAGAUACCCUGGUAGUCCACGCCGUAAACGAUGGGCACUAGAUGCUUGGGGGAGCGACCCCCUGAGUGUCGCCGCUAACGCAGUAAGUGCCCCGCCUGGGGAGUACGGCCGCAAGGCUG